GAUGAACGCUGGCGGCGUGCCUAAUACAUGCAAGUCGAGCGAACGGACGAGACGCUUGCUUCUCUGAUGUUAGCGGCGGACGGGUGUGUCACACGUGUAUCACCUCCCUAUAAGACUGGGAUAACUUCGGGACACCGUAGCUAAUCCCGGAUAAUCUUUUGAACCGCAUGGUUCAAUAGUGAAAGACGGUCUUGCUGUCACUUCUAGAUGGAUCCGCGCUGCAUUAGCUAGUUGGUAAGGUAACGGCUUACCAAGGCAACGAUGCAUAGCCGACCUGAGAGGGCGAUCGGCCACACUGGAACGGAGACACGGUCCAGACUCCUACGGGAGGCAGCAGUAGGGAAUCUGCCGCAAUGGGCGAAAGCCUGACGGAGCAAGGCCGCGUGAGUGAUGAAGGUCUUCGGAUCGGAAAACUCUGUUAUUAGGGAAGAACAGAUGUGUAAGUAACUGUGCAGAGCGUGACGGUACCUAAUCAGAAAGCCACGGCUAACUACGUG
rnacentral:rRNA from 1 species